AGCGAACGUUAGCGGCGCGCCUAACACAUGCAAGUCGAACGAGAAAGUUCCCUUCGGGGGACAAGUAAAGUGGCGCACGGGUGCGUAACACGUAGGCAAUCUUCCCUGAGAUGGGGGGAUAACCCUCCGAAAGGAGAGCUAAUACCGCGUAAGACCACAGUGACUCCGGUCACAGGGGUCAAAGCUAGCCUCUACUUGUAAGCUAGUGUCUCGGGAUGAGCCUGCGGCCCAUCAGUAGUGUAGGUAACGGCUACCAAGGCGAAGACGGGUAGCUGGUCUGAGAGGAUGGACAGCCACACUGGCACUGAAACACGGGCCAGACU
rnacentral:rRNA from 1 species